rnacentral:misc_RNA from 1 species
GAUGAAGAACGUAGCGAAAUGCGAUAAGUAAUGUGAAUUGCAGAAUUCAGUGAAUCAUCGAAUCUUUGAACGCACAUUGCGCCCCCUGGUAUUCCGGGGGGCAUGCCUGUUCGAGCGUCAUUUCACCACUCAAGCCUCGCUUGGUAUUGGGCAACGCGGUCCGCCGCGUGCCUCAAAUCGACCGGCUGGGUCCUCUGUCCCCUAAGCGUUGUGGAAACUUUCGCUAAAGGGUGUUCGGGAGGCUACGCCGUAAAACAACCCCAUUUCUAAGGUUGACCUCGGAUCAGGUAGGGAUACCCGCUGAACUUAAGCAUAUCAAUAAGCGGAGGA